CACGUAGGGCGCAAGCGUUGUCCGGAAUUAUUGGGCGUAAAGAGCUCGUAGGUGGUUUGUUACGUCUGCUGUGAAAACCUAGGGCUUAACCCUGGGCUUGCAGUGGAUACGGGCAGACUAGAGGUAGGUAGGGGAGAAUGGAAUUCCUGGUGUAGCGGUGAAAUGCGCAGAUAUCAGGAGGAACACCGGUGGCGAAGGCGGCCUUCUGGACAGUGACUGACGCUGAGACGCGAAAGCGUGGGGAGCAAACAGG
rnacentral:rRNA from 1 species